UGCAGGGUACAUCUUGUUGGUGGGGCUCAGUCCUGCUCUCCCACGGCAGAGGGUGACUGGUAACUUCGCUGCUUCCUGGAAAAGGUCAAAGGUCUUGGGUCCGACUCCCUUUCCCCAGGAUAAACCGGUUGCUUGAUGCUGGGUUCCUGUGGCAUGGACUGUGCUCCCCUCUGGCCGUCUGGUGAAGCUUGUGGAUGCGUGGUCAGAACGAUGUUUCUAAACAUAAAAUAAAACACAUAGGAUGGGCAGAUUGGACUUUCUACAGACGGUGUGACGCGUCCCUCAGGCUGCACGCUUCUCUUGAGUGUGGCCCUGACACGCCUCGACCAAGUCCAUUUCUCUACCUCCUGGGAUUUGGGCAGCUUUGAGAAUACCUGCACCAAUAGAAUAGGAGAAAGUGAUGGUAUAUCAGCUCUGGACGUAGCCCUUGACCGUCCGGCACCUGCUGCUUCCUCCCUUGGGAAGGCGUCUUACGUAAGGAGUGCAACCGCCUGAGACCACCAGUGCGAGAGGCCAAGGCCCGAGAGACAAGGCACCACACUCAGAGGAAGACUGAGGAGCCCUGAGGAGGCAGCAGACUGAGUGGGGACACGUCUGCAAGGGGACCUGCAAGUCCCCCAGCCCAGCCAAGACCAUGUGGGUCACAUUCGAGCUGCCCAGCUGAGCGUCCUUCAAUCUCCUGAUCCACAAAAUUGUCAGGAAAAGAAAAUGGUUGCUUUAGGUCA